rnacentral:rRNA from 1 species
GAUGAACGCUGGCGGCGUGCCUAAUACAUGCAAGUCGAGCGGUAAGGCCCCUUCGGGGGUACACGAGCGGCGGACGGCUGAGUAACGCGUAGGAAUGUACCCCAAAGUGAGGGAUAACUGCUCGAAAGAGUAGCUAAUACCGCAUGUGAUCUUCGGAUUAAAGCUUUAUGCGCUUUGGGAACAGCCUGCGUCCGAUUAGCUAGUUGGUGAGGUAAUUGCUCACCAAGGCGAUGAUCGGUAGCUGGUCUGAGAGGAUGAUCAGCCAGACUGGGACUGAGACACGGCCCAGACUCCUACGGGAGGCAGCAGUAGGGAAUUUUCCACAAUGGGGGCAACCCUGAUGGAGCAACGCCGCGUGCAGGAUGAAUGCCUUAGGGUUGUAAACUGCUUUUAUUAGUGACGAUUAUGACGGUAACUAAUGAAUAAGGACCUGCUAACUACGUGCCAGCAGCCGCAGUAAUAC